CGCUGGCGGCGUGCUUAACACAUGCAAGUCGAACGGUGAACACGGAGCUUGCUCUGUGGGAUCAGUGGCGAACGGGUGAGUAACACGUGAGCAACCUGCCCCUGACUCUGGGAUAAGCGCUGGAAACGGCGUCUAAUACUGGAUAUGUGACGUGACCGCAUGGUCUGCGUCUGGAAAGAAUUUCGGUUGGGGAUGGGCUCGCGGCCUAUCAGCUUGUUGGUGAGGUAAUGGCUCACCAAGGCGUCGACGGGUAGCCGGCCUGAGAGGGUGACCGGCCACACUGGGACUGAGACACGGCCCAGACUCCUACGGGAGGCAGCAGUGGGGAAUAUUGCACAAUGGGCGCAAGCCUGAUGCAGCAACGCCGCGUGAGGGACGACGGCCUUCGGGUUGUAAACCUCUUUUAGCAGGGAAGAAGCGAAAGUGACGGUACCUGCAGAAAAAGCGCCGGCUAACUACGUGCCAGCAGCCGCGGUAAUACGUAGGGCGCAAGCGUUAUCCGGAAUUAUUGGGCGUAAAGAGCUCGUAGGCGGUUUGUCGCGUCUGCUGUGAAAUCCGGAGGCUCAACCUCCGGCCUGCAGUGGGUACGGGCAGACUAGAGUGCGGUAGGGGAGAUUGGAAUUCCUGGUGUAGCGGUGGAAUGCGCAGAUAUCAGGAGGAACACCGAUGGCGAAGGCAGAUCUCUGGGCCGUAACUGACGCUGAGGAGCGAAAGGGUGGGGAGCAAACAGGCUUAGAUACCCUGGUAGUCCACCCCGUAAACGUUGGGAACUAGUUGUGGGGUCCAUUCCACGGAUUCCGUGACGCAGCUAACGCAUUAAGUUCCCCGCCUGGGGAGUACGGCCGCAAGGCUAAAACUCAAAGGAAUUGACGGGGACCCGCACAAGCGGCGGAGCAUGCGGAUUAAUUCGAUGCAACGCGAAGAACCU
rnacentral:rRNA from 1 species